rnacentral:rRNA from 1 species
UUAGCAUGGAAUAAUGGAAUAGGACAAUGAUUCUAUUUUGUUGGUUUCUAGGACCGUUGUAAUGAUUAAUAGGGAUAGUUGGGGGCAUUAGUAUUCAAUUGUCAGAGGUGAAAUUCUUGGAUUUAUUGAAGACUAACUACUGCGAAAGCAUUUGCCAAGGAUGUUUUCAUUAAUCAAGAACGAAAGUUAGGGGAUCGAAGACGAUCAGAUACCGUCGUAGUCUUAACCAUAAACUAUGCCGACUAGGGAUCGGGCGAUGUUGUUUCAAUGACUCGCUCGGCACCUUAUGGGAAACCAAAGUGUUUGGGUUCCGGGGGGAGUAUGGUCGCAAGGCUGAAACUUAAAGGAAUUGACGGAAGGGCACCACCAGGGGUGGAGCCUGCGGCUUAAUUUGACUCAACACGGGGAAACUCACCAGGUCCAGACAUAGUGAGGAUUGACAGAUUGAGAGCUUUUUCUUGAUUCUAUGGGUGGUGGUGCAUGGCCGUUCUUAGUUGGUGGAGUGAUUUGUCUGGUUAAUUCCGAUAACGAACGAGACCUUAACCUGCUAAAUAGCUAGGCGACUCUUUGAGCCGUCGUCAGCUUCUUAGAGGGACUGUUGCGCGAUUAGCCAACGGAAGUUUGA